UUUUUUUAUUUUUUUUUAUUUUUUUUUAUUUUUUUUUAUUUUAUUUUAUUUUAUUUUUUUUAUUUUUUUUUUUAUUUUUUUUUUUUUUCGCAGAUACUACAGAGAUGACAUAAACGACGUCAAUCUCAGAAGCAGUAUGAACGAAGACACACUCGACGUUGAAAAUGUAGAACUAGAGAAAGAAGAACAGUAUGCACCUAAAAAGGCAGUAUACAUUAAAUCAUAUGCUAUUAAUACUUUAAUAGAAGAAAGUAUAAUUACACAAAAUGAUAAAUAUAAACAGAACAAUAUCUUGCAAAACAAAAAGAUACCUAGCUCAAAUGUGCAUAAUAACAUACUGUACAAGCUAUCCAUUCAAUUAGAAAAAGAAUUUUUAAAAAAUAAUAAAUUUAAAAAAAUAAACAAUACUACAGUAAGAGAAGGGGGAAAAAAUAAGUUAUCAAGUGAAAAGCGUAGCUAUAGCAAUGAUCAAAAUAAUCAAAAUGAUGCAAGUGACGGCGACUGUGAAAUAAAAAAAAGGUUAAAAUGUAAUGAAGUGUAUUCAAAUAAAGACAAUAAUAAACGCUUUGAUGACAGUUGCGAUGACAGUUAUGAUGGCAGACGUAGCAGUACGCAUGUAGACUAUUUUGUACCACCAGAUAACGAAUUAAUUAUUUCAAUUUUAAACGUGUUAACACAUAUUUACAAAACAAAAAAGGAAAUAUCUAAACAGGAUGUUCAUAUAUUUAAAAAAAUAAUCAAAUAUGGUGCCAUGUGGUUAUUCUAUAUAUACAAUGACAUCAGAAAUGAUGUUAGUAAAAAUGACGGAUAUAGUGAUAACAAUAAUAAUAAUAAUAAUAACAAUAAUAAUAAUAAUAACAAUAAUAAUAAUAAUAACAAUAAUAAUAAAAUAUACUUUUUUUUACAUUACGCACAAUAUAUACACGUAAACAUAUGUGAUAUCUUAGGUUGCCUUUUAAUUAUAAGGCGCUGUGCAUUAUACCCAAUGUUAUGUAAGUACAUAAUUCACAUGACUUUCAAUCAAAAUAAUAUUUACAUUGACCUUACAACUCCUCAUGUUCUAAUUCAUUUAGUUCAUUUAUUAAACGAUCAUAAUAUUUAUAUUCUCUCUUCAUGGAAAGUCAAAACCGCAAUUCUCAAGACACUCAUCGCGCUACUAUCUGAUUCCUAUGUUAUGGACUUA
rnacentral:lncRNA from 1 species